rnacentral:rRNA from 1 species
AGCAUAUCAAUAAGCGGAGGAAAAGAAACCAACAGGGAUUGCCUUAGUAACGGCGAGUGAAGCGGCAACAGCUCAGAUUUGAAAUCUGCCUAACGGCCGAAUUGUAAUCUGUAGAGGAAACUUUGGGCGCGGAAACCACAGAGUUCCCUGGAAUGGGGCACCAUGGAGGGUGAGAGUCCCGUUUGUGGCCAUCUAAGCCUAUGUAUAAGUUCCUUCAACGAGUCGAGUAGUUUGGGAAUGCUGCUCAAAAUGGGAGGUAAAUCUCUUCUAAAGCUAAAUAUUGGCCAGAGACCGAUAGCGCACAAGUAGAGUGAUCGAAAGAUGAAAAGCAUUCCGGAAGGAAGGUUAAAAAGUACGUGAAAUUGCUGAAAGGGAAGCGCUUAUGACCAGACAUGGGCUUGGAGUUCACCUAGUGUUCUCACUGGGGCAUUUCUCCAGCUCAGGCUAGCAUCGGUUUUCUUAGAGGGAUAAAAACAGGAGGAAUGUAGCUCUUUCGGGAGUGUUAUAGCCUCUUGCAAUAUCUUUGAGGAGACCGAGGUUCGCGAUUCAUGGAUGCUGGCAUAA